AUAACUUCCGGAAACCGGAACUAAUACCGGAUAAUAUUUCCAACCGCAUGGAUCGAUACUGAAAGAUGGCUUUGCUAUCACUUAUACAUGGACCCGCGCCGUAUUAGCUAGUUGGUAAGGUAACGGCUUACCAAAGCGACAAUACGUAUCCGACCUGAGAGGGUGAUCGGCCACACUGGAACUGAGACACGGUCCAGACUCCUACGGGAGGCAGCAAUAGGGAAUCUUCCGCAAUGGGCGAAAGCCUGACGGAGCAACGCCGCGUGAGUGAUGAAGGUCUUCGGAUCGUAAAACUCUGUUAUUAGGGAAGAACAUACGUGUAAGUAACUAUGCACGUCUUGACGGUACCUAAUCAGAAAGCCACGGCUAACUACGUGCCAGCAGCCGCGGUAAUACGUAGGUGGCAAGCGUUAUCCGGAAUUAUUGGGCGUAAAGCGCGCGUAGGCGGUUUUUUAAGUCUGAUGUGAAAGCCCACGGCUCAACCGUGGAGGGUCAUUGGAAACUGGAAAACUUGAGUGCAGAAGAGGAAUGUGGAAUUCCAUGUGUAGCGGUGAAAUG
rnacentral:rRNA from 1 species